GUGGGGAAUCUUGCGCAAUGGGCGAAAGCCUGACGCAGCCAUGCCGCGUGAAUGAUGAAGGUCUUAGGAUUGUAAAAUUCUUUCACCGGGGACGAUAAUGACGGUACCCGGAGAAGAAGCUCCGGCUAACUUCGUGCCAGCAGCCGCGGUAAUACGAAGGGGGCUAGCGUUGCUCGGAAUUACUGGGCGUAAAGGGCGCGUAGGCGGACAGUUUAGUCAGAGGUGAAAGCCCAGGGCUCAACCUUGGAAUUGCCUUUGAUACUGGCUGUCUUGAGUACGGGAGAGGUGAGUGGAACUCCGAGUGUAGAGGUGAAAUUCGUAGAUAUUCGGAAGAACACCAGUGGCGAAGGCGACUCACUGGCCCGUUACUGACGCUGAGGCGCGAAAGCGUGGGGAGCAAACAGGAUUAGAAACCCCGGUAGUCC
rnacentral:rRNA from 1 species